rnacentral:rRNA from 1 species
CUCGUAGGUGGCCAACUAAGUCAGACGUGAAAUCCCUCGGCUUAACCGGGGAACUGCGUCUGAUACUGGAUGGCUUGAGGUUGGGAGAGGGAUGCGGAAUUCCAGGUGUAGCGGUGAAAUGCGUAGAUAUCUGGAGGAACACCGGUGGCGAAGGCGGCAUCCUGGACCAAUUCUGACACUGAGGAGCGAAAGCCAGGGAGCAAACG